GACGAACGCUGGCGGCGUGCUUAACACAUGCAAGUCGAACGGAAAGGCCCGUCUUUGGGGCGGUGCUCGGGUGGCGAACGGGGGAGUAACAUGUAGGUAGCCUGCCCCUGACAGUGGUAUAACUUCAUGAAACUGGGGCUAAUAGCGGAUAGGAUCUCCGCCUGCAUGGGGGGUGGUGGAAAGUUUCGGCGUUUGGGGAUGACUCGCGUCUUAUCAGUUUGUUGGUUGGGUGGUGGGAUAGCAAGGCUAUGCCCGGUAGACGGGCUGAGAGGGUGACCGGCCAAAUUGGGACUGAGAUACGGCCCAGACUACUACGGGAGGCAGCAGUGGAGAAUAUUGCACAAUGGGCGGAAGCAUGAUGCAGCGACGCAGCGUGCGGGAUGACGGCCUUCGGGUUGUAACCCGCUUUCGCCUGUGACGAAGAGUGAAUGACGGUACUGGGUAAAGAAGCACCGGCUAACUACGUG
rnacentral:rRNA from 1 species